GUGCUCACGGGUCUGGCCAUCCUUGGAGAUACCAGCCUCAAAACCACCAGUGGUGGAGUCAAUUAUAAGCACCGCACAAUCAGCCCGGGAGGUCCCAGUGAUAAUGUUCUUGAUGAAAUCACGGUGUCCAGGAGCAUCGAUGACGAUGCAGGAGUACUUGGUGGUCUCCUGCACCCACCCACACACGCAUUCAUUCAUUCAGCAGCAUCACCAAGUGUAUGCAUGCGUAUGGAGCAGAGCAGAGGAGAGGAUUCACGGAGGAGUACCUGCCAUUCGAAUGGGUAUACAAAGGAGUAG
rnacentral:rRNA from 1 species